UUAAAUUGAAGAGUUUGAUCAUGGCUCAGAUUGAACGCUGGCGGCAGGCCUAACACAUGCAAGUCGAACGGUAACAGGAAGCAGCUUGCUGUUUCGCUGACGAGUGGCGGACGGGUGAGUAAUGUCUGGGAAACUGCCUGAUGGAGGGGGAUAACUACUGGAAACGGUAGCUAAUACCGCAUAACGUCGCAAGACCAAAGAGGGGGACCUUCGGGCCUCUUGCCAUCGGAUGUGCCCAGAUGGGAUUAGCUAGUAGGUGGGGUAACGGCUCACCUAGGCGACGAUCCCUAGCUGGUCUGAGAGGAUGACCAGCCACACUGGAACUGAGACACGGUCCAGACUCCUACGGGAGGCAGCAGUGGGGAAUAUUGCACAAUGGGCGCAAGCCUGAUGCAGCCAUGCCGCGUGUAUGAAGAAGGCCUUCGGGUUGUAAAGUACUUUCAGCGGGGAGGAAGGGAGUAAAGUUAAUACCUUUGCUCAUUGACGUUACCCGCAGAAGAAGCACCGGCUAACUCCGUGCCAGCAGCCGCGGUAAUACGGAGGGUGCAAGCGUUAAUCGGAAUUACUGGGCGUAAAGCGCACGCAGGCGGUUUGUUAAGUCAGAUGUGAAAUCCCCGGGCUCAACCUGGGAACUGCAUCUGAUACUGGCAAGCUUGAGUCUCGUAGAGGGGGGUAGAAUUCCAGGUGUAGCGGUGAAAUGCGUAGAGAUCUGGAGGAAUACCGGUGGCGAAGGCGGCCCCCUGGACGAAGACUGACGCUCAGGUGCGAAAGCGUGGGGAGCAAACAGGAUUAGAUACCCUGGUAGUCCACGCCGUAAACGAUGUCGACUUGGAGGUUGUGCCCUUGAGGUGUGGCUUCCGGAGCUAACGCGUUAAGUCGACCGCUUGGGGAGUACGGCCGCAAGGUUAAAACUCAAAUGAAUUGACGGGGGCCCGCACAAGCGGUGGAGCAUGUGGUUUAAUUCGAUGCAACGCGAAGAACCUUACCUGGUCUUGACAUCCACGGAAGUUUUCAGAGAUGAGAAUGUGCCUUCGGGAACCGUGAGACAGGUGCUGCAUGGCUGUCGUCAGCUCGUGUUGUGAAAUGUUGGGUUAAGUCCCGCAACGAGCGCAACCCUUAUCCUUUGUUGCCAGCGGUCCGGCCGGGAACUCAAAGGAGACUGCCAGUGAUAAACUGGAGGAAGGUGGGGAUGACGUCAAGUCAUCAUGGCCCUUACGACCAGGGCUACACACGUGCUACAAUGGCGCAUACAAAGAGAAGCGACCUCGCGAGAGCAAGCGGACCUCAUAAAGUGCGUCGUAGUCCGGAUUGGAGUCUGCAACUCGACUCCAUGAAGUCGGAAUCGCUAGUAAUCGUGGAUCAGAAUGCCACGGUGAAUACGUUCCCGGGCCUUGUACACACCGCCCGUCACACCAUGGGAGUGGGUUGCAAAAGAAGUAGGUAGCUUAACCUUCGGGAGGGCGCUUACCACUUUGUGAUUCAUGACUGGGGUGAAGUCGUAACAAGGUAACCGUAGGGGAACCUGCGGUUGGAUCACCUCCUUACCUUAAAGAAGC
rnacentral:rRNA from 1 species